rnacentral:rRNA from 1 species
GACGAACCGUGCAAACGUUAUUCGGAAUCACUGGGCAUAAAGGGCGCGUAGGCGGCUUUCUAAGUCAGGGGUGAAAUCCGGCAGCUCAACUGUCGCAGUGCCUUUGAUACUGGAGAGCUCGAGGGAGGUAGGGGUCUGUGGAACUUCCGGUGGAGCGGUGAAAUGCGUUGAUAUCGGAAGGAACGCCGGUGGCGAAAGCGACGGACUGGAUCUCUUCUGACGCUGAGGCACGAAAGCUAGGGGAGCAAACAGG